GACGGAGGGUGCUAGCGUUGUUCGGAAUGACUGGGCGUAAAGGGCGCGUAGGCGGUUCCGUAAGUCGGGUGUGAAAAAUCUGGGCUCAACCCAGUGGAGCACCCGAUACUGCGGUGACUGGAGUCCGGUAGGGGAGUGUGGAAUUCCUGGUGUAGCGGUGAAAUGCGCAGAUAUCAGGAGGAACACCGACGGCGAAGGCAGCACUCUGGGCCGGUACUGACGCUGAGGAGCGAAAGCAUGGGGAGCGAACAGG
rnacentral:rRNA from 1 species